rnacentral:rRNA from 1 species
AUUGAACGCUGGCGGCAUGCCUUACACAUGCAAGUCGAACGGUAACGGGCCUUCGGGUGCCGACGAGUGGCGAACGGGUGAGUAAUGCAUCGGAACGUACCUUUCAGUGGGGGAUAACGUAGCGAAAGUUACGCUAAUACCGCAUAUUCUGUGAGCAGGAAAGCAGGGGAUCGCAAGACCUUGCGCUGAUUGAGCGGCCGAUGUCAGAUUAGCUAGUUGGUGAGGUAAAGGCUCACCAAGGCGACGAUCUGUAGCGGGUCUGAGAGGAUGAUCCGCCACACUGGAACUGAGACACGGUCCAGACUCCUACGGGAGGCAGCAGUGGGGAAUUUUGGACAAUGGGCGAAAGCCUGAUCCAGCCAUGCCGCGUGAGUGAAGAAGG